CUGCGCACACGUGUGCUCCAAGAGAAAUUGAUUUGCUUCUCGCCAAUAAAGAUCCCUAUGCAUACAAACACACACGCACGCACACACACACACACACACACACACACACACACACACACACACACACACACACACACACACACACACACACACACACACACACACACACACACAGGGUUUGAUCGGCCACAAGCCCCCCCAAGCACCACCCCUCCUGUUAAUGUGAUUAGUAAUGAGGUCUGAAACCUUGGCAUGUCUUCGCAAAGAGCAACAAAAUGACAAGCAGGUUAAAUUAUGAAAGGUGUCAGAGCCUCAUGAAGGAAACUCACAGUAUCGCUUGUGAGCUGGCCACUGCAACCUUCCUGAAAGCUGGCGUGUCGGUUAAUUAGUUGAGACUGAUGUGUUCCCUCAAGCUACAUGAGCUAAUUCAACGUAAACAUGUUGUUUGUUUAAAACGACACUAACAUUCAUCGAAACAAGUAUAUAAAGGAAACCAGAUUUGCAGACUAAUAAUGGUAUCCUUAUCUUGGUAUGAUAAUUUCAAGUAUGAUCCAGUUAGCAUUUUUAUCUCCCAUUGAAUCCUAUACACUUAUAACAUGGCAGAUAUACACACAUGAUGUAAACACAAGAAAUGAUUGCACCGCAAUCAAUCUCUUGGGGGCUCUGGGGGCUUUUGACGAUGGGGUCAAUGCCAGGGACAGAAGGGCAGUGGGGGUGGGGGUGGGCCAGGGAGAGGUUAAAGGUCACCGUUACAUCGCUAACCUGGGGGAAACCACAUAAUACAUUGUUAACCUCACCCUUAUCACACUGUGCCCCCUGGCCGACACGCACUAAAGAGAAGUAAUGGGAGGGAGGGUGUGUCCUCUAAAUACUGUAGUCUGCUGUCGGCUGCUCGUGGCUGUACAUCUCCCUCCAGUGAUACUGCUUGUAGCAACGUGAUAUAGCAAAACAACAACAGCAGCAGUUGCAGCAGCAGCAGCCAUCUUGGCUCUAGGAUCUGUCUCUCUCUUUUAUCUUUCUGUCCCUGCGGGUCAGGGGGUUUCUGGUGUAGGGUUAUAGAGAAGCUGUAAGAGUGAUGAAUGAGCAAUCCUGCUGAGAAAAUCCUUACUCACCCCCUCUGCACUCCCCCCCUCCUCCACCUCCCCCAGCCCCCGUUAGACCUCUGCAAAAGCUGUGAUGAUGGCUGGGAAAGAUAAUUAAAUCUGCAUACAUAUAGGCAGAUAAACUAUGUUACAUCCCAAGAUGUUAAAUUGUUUUGCAAUUGAUUGGCAUCAAAUAUGUUUUCCUUGACCACACCGGUUCUAAAUGUUAAAUAUAUAUAUUGAGAUAUGCUUAUCCAUGCAUUUUAUUCUCAGCAACAACUUUUCAACCAUUUUCAAAAGCCUAUUGCACAAGAUUUUGCUUUUGUGAGAGGAAGUGGUUAUCUGCAAGACACAGUUCAUAGCUAGCAGGAAGAGAGAGAGCAAGGAGGAGAGUGAGCGAGCGAGAGAGGGGAGGGAGAAAGGGGGAGGGUGUUUGUGUGGCUCCACUGAGAGCUUGCAGGCUGAUAACACACUCAACCACAGAUGGUUGGGCAAGGUUGCAAGAAAGUGGGAGAAUAAAGUGAGUGUAAAGAGAGUGACAGACCGAGAGAAGAGAGUGGGAGAGAGAGUGAAAAUGAGAUAGAGCAAAAGAGAAGGCUGAACGAGAGGCAUCUGCAGCCACAGCAAAGAAGAAGAAGAGAAGAGGACGAGGAAGCGAAUGAGGAAGAGAGAGACGGAGAGGGACUCACAGAAUCCUAACCGAGCCUUCAGCACCAUCUACUGUACUCUCCUCGAUGACGGAUAUACCACCACUCUCACACACAAGAGCAGCCUGACAGAGUCGCUGUCUGGUCUACAACCUGGACUGAGCCACGUGACCAUGGGUUUCACCUGCUGAUCCCUACAAAGACCCGAGGAGCCGGUCGGAAGCAAGAGCGCACUGUGUCUGUGUUGAUUGGGUGGUUGAGUCUCUGUUUGUUUGGUGCCUCAUGAGUGUGUAUGUGUGUGCAUGUUUGUCUGUGUUUUUUUUCUUUGAACUUUGCAGGCAUGACAGCAGGUGCAUGUAUGCGUUGGAUUUGGCUCACAGUCAGCGCGUUAACCAGUGUUAGAGUGCGCACCUUCUGUGGUCCGCAUUGGACGUGUGCACGCGUCUGUGGCACGUUUCCGAGCCGGUGCGUUCGGCGACGCCAGCCGCCAGAGCUCGUAUACGCCUCGCAGGAGGAAGUGACACAUCUGUGCUCGCUCUCGGAUUUCCUGGUGCCUCUCCGGUGGCACGCCGAGCCCUGAAUCGGAGCCUCCCUCACCCAGCUCACCCUAUCCUCAACACGGCCCCCGCGGCCACGGGACCCUGCUCCAGCCUAGUGGAUCACCCGCCGAGGGCCCUGCCUCCCCGCUCCUUCUCUUCGGGUGCCAGACCCUGAGAUGCCUUCAGAUCCUGGCUCUAACGCCGCCGCACCGCCAGUCAAACCAGUGCCUCGGGCUCGAGAGGGAAGACACUGAAGAGGAUAAACAACACACUCGAAGGACUUCAAGGUCGGUUGGUAUUAGUCCCGGGCCCGACGGGGCUGCCGUCCGCCUCCUCCAUGACCGUCAACACGUCGCCCGGCCCUUCCAUGGCGAGCAGUAACAGCAUGAGCAGCGGCUACUGCAGCCUCGACGAGGAGGGCGAGGACUACACUUUCUUCACUGCCAAGACCUCCUUCUUCCAGCAGCCCAACAAGACGGCCAAGGUAUGGCAGCCCUGUUCGAGGUAGAACCUGGUGUAGGUUCGAGGAAGGGGGGGGGGGUUCAGGAGGCAGGAUAGAGAGGAAAGUACAAUGAAUCGAUUAUCUGUCCCAUACUGUGGGUGGCUUGCGAGCAGUUCCGUGUCACCUUUCAAAAGGGGAAGUUGCGAUAGGAAGUUACGAUAUGAGUAGUAUUGUGAGGGUUGCUCAUGUCCUUCGCAUCUUGUGUUACAACAUCUAUGAACUUUGCCCUUUCAGCAACGGCUUGUCACCGUUCAAUUCACCGUUCAAUGGCAUUGCAAUAGACUUUGAAUGGAAGGUAGUUAUCAGAGGAAGGAAUCAGAAUAUAGGUCAUAUCUUUGUUAGCCCAAAGGCAUUUUUGAGCCGUGAAAUGCCACCAUUGCAACCUUGAAACUGCCGGAGGGACAGGUUUUCUAGAUUGCGUGGGAAAGGUUUCCGUAGGAACAAGGCACCAGGCGUCGAGACGGAGAGUGCUGCUCGUUGGCCUACCGCCGAACUGCAGCUGAAGAUCUUUCAUCCGUUACCAUAGUAACAGAUAAAACGGCUAGUAGAAAGGCCUAUGGCAACUCAUCUUCAAAAAAUAACAUUCAAACACAACGUGAUCUCAAAGCACUAUGUGCUCCCACACACACACACACACCCCCACACACACACAGACACACACACACACACACACACACACACACACACACACACACACACACACACACACACACACACACACACACACACACACACACACACACACACAAACACACAGACGACCCCCUCCCCUCCCUCCACAUCCAAACUGACACAAACAAACACACAAACACACAUACACAUAAAACUAGAUGCUUCUUUGAAUAUUUAGUAUACAAUGGUUGUAUGUUAUUUGUCCAUUUGGUGGUGAUAUCCAUUUUUCUGCAAUGUAAAAUAACUUUCCCCAUUCUGGUCUGUGGAAAGGAGAGGUGUUAGAAACAAAUUGUGUAAUGGCUCAGAGAGGAAGUGUUGUUGGGCGCAGAGCAAGUGAGUGUGCGUGUGGGGGGCAGGAUAAUGGUGGGUCUGUGUGUUUGAAUCUCUAUUGCCAUCCUGCUCUGAACAUCUGGUACCUGCAUUCACUUUAAGACACCUAUUAAAACGCCUGCUAAAUGACCCGAGCGUAGUUGUCAUUGUGUCUCAUUGGGAGAGAGCGUCACGGUUUAAUAAUUGACUGGCUGUGCGUUUCAGAUGUAGAGUUUGGGUUCCCGGGCCGUCUAGGGGUUAAUCGGACCAGUCACCGGAGGCUCUUCUUGAUGACGCAGCUCUGCUCAGAAAUCUGUAUUCAAACCCGGCCCAGCUCGGGCCUGGGCGGCCUUAUUUGAAGAACCAUUAUCUUAAAAGUAUAAAACAGGGAUCCGAUAAAGGGUGCCAUAAACGUUCACAAUAAAAAAAUGUGAACGUUUAAAAUGACAGCACACCAAGGUUUUUUCUUUCUCAAACUAUAUUCGCAGCAGGUGUAGUAGGUUGAGCAUUGAGUAAGCGCCUCUGUCUGCUGACCCAGGUCUUGCUGCUAGCAUACGGAAACACUGGCUAACACACUGUGAGAUAUUCAUGCUCAUCAGAAUGCCGACAGGGCGGUCAAGAUCCUCCUCGCCUUAUUGAUUAUGAACAGAGCUGAACUUUUUUCCCCAGAUGGGAAAAGCAAACUUAAGCGUGUGCGUGUCUUUCUGUUUUGCGAGUCAAACGGGUAGUUCAUUUGAAUUCCUACGACUAAUGGCACUCAAUCGUAAUCGUCUGUGUGUGUGUGUGUGUGUGUGUGUGUGUGUGUGUGUGUGUGUGUGUGUGUGUGUGUGUGUGUGUGUGUGUGUGUGUGUGUGUCUGUCUGUCUGUCUGUCUGUCUGUCUGUCUGUCUGUCUGUGUGUGUGUGUGUGUGUGUGUGUGUGUGUGUGUGUGUGUGUGUGUGUGUGUGUGUGUGUGUGUGUGUGUGUGUGUGUGUGUGUGUGUGUGUGUGUGUGUGUGUGUGUGUGUGUGUGUGUGUGUGUGUGUGUUUUGGUGUUUGUGUUGUUCACCCUCUAAUUGUUUAAAUCACUGAUACUAGUUUUCAUUGUACGGUUGAAUGAUCUAUGGUACAUGCAUUCUUUCAGUAAAAUGAAUUCCACCAGUCCGUGUUUGUGCUUGAGAGCAUCUGUGUAAAGAAUGGAUAGCCAAUACUGGUAAAUAUCAUGCUUCAAUAGGGAGGAAACAAUCUGUCACAGAAUUUCCUUUCCAUUCCCCUUUUCAUGUUUCUCUCUCUUUCUCCCCCCUCUCUUAUUCACAUCUGCUUGUUUGCAGACACAUGACACGCACAAGCACUCAUGCAUGCACACACACACGCACACACACACACACACACACACACACACACACACACACACACACACACACACACACACACACACACACACACACACACACACACACACACACACACACACACACACACACACACACACACACACACACACACACACACACA